rnacentral:lncRNA from 1 species
AUGUGUUCUGUUGUCAGGCGCUUCACGGCGACAGAGCGAUGUCGAAGCCCCCGGACCUGCCAGGCCCACAGGAGGUCACAGAAUAUUUUUGAUCAUGGUCCUGGCAGUGGGAGUGAUGGGCUGUCCGAGGAGCACCCGGGAGACCAGCUGGAUGCAAGCAUAAGCACCAUGGAACUGCCUGGAGGCCAGCUUCUCACACCCAUGCUGUCUUCUGGAUUGUGGCACGUCCCUCCUAUCGGGUCUGCUGGCCACCGCUCCCACCUCCGCCGACCCAGUCUCCACUCCAGCCAGAAAGGAGCAUUGCCAGGCACACACCCAACUCCCCCACUUCAGAGAAUCCAUCAUUCUUCCUCCUGCCUUCCAGAAAUUGCUUCGAACUCAAUGUCACUCUGCUCAGAACACCCUCACCAGCAACUCCCCCUUGCCCCCACCGGCCUGCAGGUCCGUGCCUGUCCUCUCCCGUCCCACCCCCUAAGCCUAGUGAGGCUAAGUGUCCUUCCCACGGCAGGCUGGGCCCCCCACCCCCACCCCGGAGCCCUCCCCACAACGUAGGCCAAGCUCCUAAUGUUUGUCUCUGUCCCCAGCUAGACAGAACCUCCACAAAGCACAGUGGUGGUUUUCGUAUCACUAGCCUGGUGCUGACGCCCCAGACCAGGCCUGCCUGUCUUUUGCUCACUCCAAGUCUCCCUCCAGCCAUUAGCGGGGGCAGGGGAGAUGCUCUGGGACUUGGUGCCAGGAUCCUAGCGCUGCUCGGUACUCCCCUCACUCCGUACCUUCAGGCAGGUCACUGUCCCCUCUGGCCCUCAGUUUCUCUACCUGCUCUUCUCUUCCCACAAGCUCAGAAGUAAAGCGACCAAAGCAGCUUGAUUGACUGACUCCCUUUUUUUUCUUUAAGUUGACUUAUUUAUCUUGAGAGAGAGAGAGAGGAGAGCAGAGAAAGAAUCUCAAGCAGGCCCCCCGCUGCCAGCGCAGAGCCCAACACGGGGCUCGAACUCACAACCGGUGAUCGGGGCAGAAGUCAAGUGACUGACUGACUCCCUUCGAAAAUGUUAUUUUAGUGUAGUAACAUGGUAUCUACCACCUUAACAGAUGUCCAAGUGCACAAUACAGUAUUGUUGACUCUAGGUGCAGUAUUCUGUGG